CGACGGAAUCAAGUAUUUCCGCCGUAUUACAUUGACAGUUUAGUCUUCCGCAUAAUAUGCCAAAGACAGCGAGAAGAAAACGAUAGGUAGCUAGCUAUACAAUUAAAGCUGAGGCAGGGAUGCAUCUGACAUCCACCUGCAGCAAUCGUCACUGGAUGUGAUAAGUAGGCGUGCCUUCUUCUGACCAGUCGACGGGGCCAAUACCUGCAAGCAGCAGGUGUGGGCACACCCCUUGAGUGGUGUGCGUUGCCAAAGCUCCUCGGCCUUUACUGUCAUUGGCUGUGACUGGAGGAGCAACCAAGUAGCUGACUGACGCUUCAUUAGUGGGUGGAGCCAGCCCAGAGUGAAAGGCGUGGCCAGUUAUGGAGAGCAUAAGUGGUAGCAGCGUGGACUCGAGAGCCACCCUUCGGGGCAUAAACACCACACCUCUCUUGGCCCGCAUAGAGUCUUAUGAGGCGAGCGAGAAGAAGUGUAUCUCUGAUGUCAGGAGGACAUUCUGCCUCUUUGUCACCUUUGACCUCCUCUUCAUCACCUUGCUCUGGAUCAUUGAGCUCAAUGUGAACGGAGGAAUCGAGAAGCGGCUCGAUAAGGAGGUCUUACACUAUGACUACCACGCCUCAUUCUUCGACAUAUUUCUCCUGGCUGUGUUGCGGUUUGCAGCCCUAAUCUUGGCCUAUGCUGUUUGUAAACUGCGUCACUGGUGGGCCAUAGCGAUAACCACAGCAACCACAAGUGCUUUCUUGAUCGCAAAAGUCAUUUUAUCAAAGCUCCUUUCCCAGGGGGCCUUUGGGUACCUGCUGCCCAUCGUCUCUUUCAUCCUGGCCUGGAUAGAGACGUGGCUACUAGACUUUAAGGUCCUACCUCAGGAGGCUGACGAUGAGAACAGAUUUCUUUCUAUAAUGGACGCCCCUGAAAGGGCCCCCUUCAUGCAACCAGGACCACUUUCAGAUGGGCAGUUCUACUCCCCACCCGAGUCUGUGGCAGACUCUGAUGAGGAGCUUCUGGAAGAUAAACACGACACGGAGAAGGCUCUUAUUUAGCAGGCCAGCCGAAGUUUGGGAGCCGACAUGUACGCCCCUUGGUCUGAGAUUUGUUAACGAAGUACCAGUGGUCAUCCUGGAAGGUGGAACCCAUUUGAAGAUUCACAACUUUGAGUGACUGCAUCUGAAGUGCUCACAGCAGCUGCCCCAUCGAACCACGGGGAAGACUUACGACCACUGCAUGUUCUGUAUUCCUCCACUGAGAGAUCGACAUUCCUCAGCCUAUCACCCUCUACACACCUGCUUCAUAUCCCCGUCGCCUCUUCACUCAAGCUUCCAAACAGUUGUUUUUAAAGAACUGAGUGCCAACUGUUUUUUUUGUUGUCGUCGCCAGAUAUAAGUUCCUAAUGUGCUUAUUCUUCUAUCUCUUGCUGAUAGGGUUAGAAGCUUCAAAAGUUUCCGAAUUGAAGACUGAGAAGUCCGCAUGGGCAGUGUGUGCCAAUUUCAAGUGUGGCUACAGGGCUGUUGAGCCCUAAGGAUGGCACUUUAAUAUAAAUAGAUUACUCAGAAAAAAACGUAUUGAUAUUAAACAAACUCCUUUGGACAACUGUCAAGGGGGAAAAUAUAAUAGACUACAUAACCAACACAGCUGUGCCUGCAUAUGUAACAACUUCAGUUGGUGAUCUAUAUAUGUCUGAAUGCAUGACUUUGGGAACUCAAUGAUGCAAUGUUUUUUUGAUUUCUUCUUAUGAUUAUGACCUCUCUUCAUCAUAGGAAAGGAAGAAAUUGUAUACAGCACCUUUUUUUAUCACUGGAAAGUGUUAUACCGUUUGUUUUCUAUGCUGACCAUUUGGAAGUAGAAGGGCAUUAGCCCGGAAGCUUCUUAGUAAACUUUCCACUUGGCUUUGCAAAUUGUAUCAAUAUACAAAUAAAAAAAAUGGCCGAAUACAUUUCCCAUGAAUUCAUAUUAGAGUUCAACACUGGUAUCUUUCACACCACCUGGAAGUUUCAAACUUUUCAUCAAACAAUAUCUGCGCUCAUUCACAUCUGCAUGUUUAUGUUUUCAAAGUGAACCGUCCGAAAGCUUUUUAUGCAGAAGCAGACUAAUGGAGUUUGUGCUCUUAUCAUGGCGAAUGCAGCUCCACACAUGGGAAUACACAAACAAACAGCUAACACAGAAGGAACCGUUUAAUGUAGUUAACCAACAGAAGUUGUGUCAGCAUGAAUUAAUAUAACGCCCACCACAAUUUCCAUUCACCAUGACAAGACUAUGAAAAUGGCAAUAAAACAUGCUUCCUCAGAUUAUUGCAGAUCCCAGUUGUGUGUACAUAUCACCAUGGAAAUAACAUGGGUAGGAUGUAGAUUUUACACUGAAAUGUAUCUUUGAUAACCUUUUAUUAGGUUCACUUCUGAAAAUGAAUGUGUGUUGGCAUGUAACACUCUUAACUUGCAUUCAGAAUUAGUGUAUGCUGAUGCAUGGACCUGUAAUCAAGAAUUUCAAUGCGAUCAGCGGUAGAUCUGCGUAAUAGUGGGCUUAACAUUUUAAAGUAAUUUCCGAUUGAGCCGAAAUACAGUUUACAUCACUUACCGUGAUUGCAGUUUCCGUGAACAUGGGAACAUUGGCUUUUUAUAAAAGGUGCAUACUGUAGCCGACAAACCGCAAUCGGAUUGAAUACCCACUAAAGAGAGUAUAGUCUUCACAUUUAUUUUUUAUUUAACUAGGCAAGUCAGUUUAGAACAAAUUCUUAUUUGCAAUGACUGCCUACCCCGGCGAAACCCUAACCCGGACGACGCAGGGCCAAUUGUGCGCCGCCCUAUGGAACUCCCAAUCACGACCGGUUAUGAUACAGCUUGGAAUCGAACCAGGGUCUGUAGUGGCGCCUCUAGCACUGAGACCGCUGCGCCACUCAAUACAGUAAAAUAAUAAGGUUCACCGUUCAAGACACCAAGUUCAUUUUCAAAGUGGCAAGCCUGUGUGCAUUUAGGAAUGAAUGGUUGGUUACCACGUUUGAUCAAGAAUUACAUUGCUUGUCAAUUCAAUUAAGCAAUAAUGUGUAUCUAGCUUUUUAUGAGUUAUUGGUUUUACUCAUCUUUGUAUUUAGUUUUGGAUUAAAGUGAAAAUUGUAUGAUUUGUUAAUGAUGGUAUAUGUUCUGUUUUUGCAUUUCAUUCGAUUUUAAUAAAAAAUAAAUUGCACAUUGUUAAA